UACGGGGGGGGUAAGCGUUGUUCGGAAUUACUGGGCGUAAAGGGCUCAUAGGCGGCCAACUAAGUCAGACGUGAAAUCCCUCAGCUUAACUGGGGAACUGCGUCUGAUACUGGAUGGCUUGGAUUCGGGAGAGGAAUGCGGAAUUCCAGGUGUAGCGGUGAAAUGCGUAGAUAUCUGGAGGAACACCGGUGGCGAAGGCGGCAUUCUGGACCGACAUUGACGCUGAGGAGCGAAAGCCAGGGGAGCAAACGGG
rnacentral:rRNA from 1 species